ensembl:misc_RNA Metazoa_SRP Metazoan signal recognition particle RNA
GCCAGGCAUGGUGGUGGGCGCCUGUAGUCCCAGCUACUUGGGAGGCUGAGGCAGGAGAAUUACUUGAACCCGGGAGGCGGGGUUGCAGUGAGCUGAGAUUGCGCCACUGCACUCCAGCCUGGGUAACAGAGUGAGACUCUGUCUCAAGAAACAAACAAACAAAAGCAAUGAAUCACAUGAAUCUGGGAGGCGGAGGUUGCAGUGAGCUGAGAUUGUGCCACUGCACUCCAGCCUGGGUGACAGAGUGAGACUCUGUCUCA